rnacentral:ribozyme from 1 species
UUUUGUUUCUGUUUUUUUCUCUCGUUCAGUUCAACAACAACAACAACAAAAAAUAAAAAAAUAAAACAAUCGUCACCUCAUUUUUUUAAAAAAAGAAAAAUGGCUUUAAUUUUU